CUACGGGAGGCAGCAGUGGGGAAUCUUGCGCAAUGGGCGAAAGCCUGACGCAGCGACGCCGCGUGAGUGAUGAAGGCCUUCGGGUUGUAAAGCUCUGUGGAGGGGGACGAAUAAGUGUUGGUGAAUAGCCAGCGCGAUGACGGUACCCCUUUAGCAAGCACCGGCUAACUCUGUGCCAGCAGCCGCGGUAAGACAGAGGGUGCAAACGUUGUUCGGAAUUACUGGGCGUAAAGCGCGUGUAGGCUGCUCGGAAAGUCGGAUGUGAAAGCCCUGGGCUCAACCUAGGAAGUGCAUUCGAAACGUGCGAGCUGGAGUGCUGGAGAGGAAGGCGGAAUUCUGGGUGUAGAGGUGAAAAUCGUAGAGAUCGAGAGGAACACCAGUGGCGAAGGCGGCCUUCUGGACAGCGACUGACGCUGAGACGCGAAAGCGUGGGGAGCAAACAGGAUUAGAAACCCGAGUAGGCC
rnacentral:rRNA from 1 species